AUGUGUUACAGCCUUUUCAUGCUACUAUAGCUCUAUAUUAUGAAUGUGAAAGGGAAAGAUUAUGGAAAAUGAGCUGUUUCAUUGGUUCCUAUGAUUUUGCAGAGAUGGCUUUGAUAUUUUUAAUAUGGCACUGUAACUGCAAGUAGUUUAAUUUAUGGGCGGCUGGUGCAUUCUCUAUAUAUGAGAUACAUAGCCAGAGCAUCCAUAAAUAGCGUACACCUAUUCUAAUUAAGGGAAACUCAUGAGAAGAGACCGCAUAUAUAACAUAAGUUUUCUUGUAACAUUCCAUGAUUGACAAAUGAAAAUGGGUGAGAUUGAGCAUAUAAAUUGGGCAUGUUUGUUUCUAUGCCAAAUAUAUUGGUUCCAAACCAAACAGGUGUCAUUUUUUUUGACAGUGCUAAUUUAUUUGGCUAUAAACCAAAAACAAGGCCAACACAUCGCAGCUCGUUGGGAUGGGAGACACUAGGAAUUUCAGUGGUACUCUUUCCAUGAUUCAUACUGACAGUGAUUCAUUAUGUAUUGAUUUUAGAGCGAGACAGAUUCAGAGUAAUUCGAUGCUGUGCUCAUUGUCUAUAUCACAAGCCCAUACAGUGCUACUGUUGGGCUAGUGACCUUUAGGUUGGCAGAUAUACCAUGCUAGUCCAACCAGAAAUAUCAAAUACUAACUCCAAUCCGUUUCAUUUUAUAGGUUGUUUUUUUAGUUUGAUCAAGAUUAUAGAAAAAUCUAGCAACAUCUGUAACACCAAAUUAUCUUCAUAUUAAUUAUAUUUUGAUAAUAUGUUUGUUUUGUGUUUAAAGUAUUGCUAUUUUUCCUAUAAAUUUAAUCAAACUUGAAAAUAUCUAACUAGAAAAAAAAGUUAAAGUGACAUAUAACAAGAAAUGGAGAGGGUAUAGCGAGAAGUCCAGCCGCUUGCAUGUCCUCUUAUUAAGGGCUUUGGUUAAAGAAUGAUCAACAUCGCGUACCAAAGUUCCUUCAGAUUCUUCAACAUCUUGUUGGUUUUAUUUCCAUAUGGCAAUUUUCGUUCGUACAGUUGUUUUCCUCAAGAUAGAGAAUGUAAAAGGAAACCAUUAAUAGCAUUUGUAUCAUGAAAGUUUCUAGUAACCUGAGUGUAGCAACAACCACUUACAUAAAAAAAAGUAAGCUGCAUAUGGAAUUUGCACUUCUCACUUAGAAAAAAAGAAAUAUGUAAACAUACAGAUAUAUAGCAUGUCACAAUAUACUUAAUCAGGCUGUACAAUUAUGAUUAUCGUGUACUAGCAAUAUGAAGGGUAAGGUAUUUUUUGGCACUCAAAAAUACCUUUUUUAGUCCAGAUUUUACCAUAAAUUGAACUAAUUGUUGUAUUCAAUCUGAUCAUGGAUUAAUAUACCAAUUCACAUGAUCCUUUAGUUAACCCUUCAUAUUUCAUUGACAUGUUGAUCGACAUCAAUGCGAGAAAAUGGGUCAACUUAUUUUACUGACAAACAAGUAUUUAUUCUUUUGGAUGCAGGUAAGUUUCGCAGUCCUAAACAUCGGCUCCAUCUACAUCUGGAACAUAAAUAUAUAACAUGAGUUUGCACUAGCGAAAGCCAUCACUGAUUAUAAGAACACGGUAUAUCUUAUGUCUCUUUGAUUUUUUUUAAUCCGGUUCAAAUGUUCAUAAUAAUUUUUUUGGUAGGGGUGCAUAAUUUAGCGUGGUCUAAAUAUGUCAAUAUUUUGUUCAAAAACAUUACAUCAAUAAAUUAAUAGGAGUAGUAUUGAGUUGUACCUGAUGAGUACCUGAAUAUCGAAAUUAAUAAAUACCGUACUGUCCUCAGUUCAGUAUCCCAAGUAUACUAUUUUCAUUAUGAGGCCUUUCACGGUUCUUGAAAGGUAUUCCAAGUACCUCCUCUCGUAUAAACUAUCUACCGUUCAUUCCUUAAAGGGUAGUUUAGGAAUAGAAAAACGUAAACAUGGGUAGUAUAGUAAUUAUUAUUAGCUGUGACCUCUAGAACUCUACUGAGUUUUCCGUCCGUCCCUAUAAUUUGUUCCAUAUCCUUCUUUCCUUUACUGAUUCUCAUCUAAAAUGGGAUUAUUGAAAAGAUCAUACUAUUAUCUUCGAUUAAUCCAUAGACACAGGAAGCAGUGACCUUCCCGUCCUCUUUCCACAAUUUGUUGUAACCAUUCAUUAUGUACGACAGUUGAUCAAGGAGCAAUCCUUGCCUUCAAUCAAAUUUACUGAACAUCCUGAUCAACAGCCUCCAUGACAGAUAAUUAUCUUCCCAUUGAGCCAUCCAAGCUGCAGAUCGCUCAUGUAUGUUCUCUCGAUCUGUAUCUGUAUCGGCUCUCACAACGGCAUCAGAUGAUUAUGCAUCCAAAAUUACUGAUAUAACCUUUUACUUAAUGUAUUAAGUUAAUACCUAGCCCACAUAUUUAGUACCUUUCUCUACGUACCUUUUGUUAUAUGUCAGAUUGUAUGUAAUCAAUGGCUGUCAUGCCUUCCAAGCACCAUAGAAGAUCUCUUUCAUUAUUUAAUAAUUGCAAAAUCUCAUUUGUAACAUUUUUAUGAUUGAUUAUGUAAUGCAAGGGUUAACGGCUAAUAGUGUAAAUUGUGCGACAAUGUGAAAAGAAAGCCAUCAAGAGUUUCUGCGAAUUAUAUUAAUUCUUGGUCGUUUUAUUGAGAGAAUUGGCUUGAAUAUAUGUAAUGUGUACUUUUUAGCUACUAUCUAUGAUUACAUUAUAAGACAUUUUGGUUUUUUAAUAGAUUAAUUAAUGCAUGGAUCUAUGUAUGUGAAUUACAUGUGUGAAUCUCGACGAGAGAUGACAUGAAAAAUUGUUUUAUAAUGUGCAAUUGAGAGAGUACGCAGUAACUGAAAGAUAGUACUACCAUGUACUGUGAUUUAAUAGGAAGGUUGCUGGGCUGUUGGUGCACAACCAUUGUCCAUUAUGGUUGUGGUUACCUUUCCAUUGCGUAAAUAGUGCAGGCUCAUCUUACGACGGAAAGAGCACUACACACUCCACGAUAUUCAAGUUUUCAUAUGACAUCAAAAAGAAAUUAUUUUAGCAGUGCAUAUGAUGUGUGGAAUAGGAGGCAUCAGGAAAUUUGGUUCUUAUUCUGCUGCCGCACAGAUAAACAAGUACUUUAUUGGUAAACGCCGGAAUCCUAGAGGAUUCAGGCGUGUGGUCAUCGGCAAUCACCGCCGUCGGUGAGGACUCGAUACCAGUCUUGCAAAAUUGAUUGGCCGGCAAACCAGGAAUUACCAGUCCUGCAUGCAUCAGUGAUGAUUCAAGUGAUGGAGACAAGUGGGGAAUUAGGUAAUUAGCCACAGUAAAUAGUGUACUCCCAUCGCUGAAUUCUGGCUCCUCCUGAGCGGUUUAUUGCAUAGCCAGAAAAUUGGAACCUCUCUUUGUGUAUUAAAAAGAUUGAAUUCAUUCGAAAACUUUGAAGACAAAAACAAAGAAUCGAACAUACUGUUGCAACAUAUCGUCACAUACAACAGAACACAGAUCAAAAUCCUGUUGGUAUUACUGGCAGAAAAUUAUAUUGCAGUCUUGGAUAGAUUGAAUUGGCACUCUGCAGUCCCAGGAUUCCCUGGCUGCGAACACUACCAGGGCAAGGAAAGCUCCCGUAUGCUCCCAAAUGUUACCGAGAGUUUAACAAAACACUAGGUAGCUUACGGGUGUACGAACAGGAACACGGUAACGUCCCAAAAAUACCGUGUGCCACUACCAAACACCCGGUAUGGCCAUGGAUUUGGAAGAAUCGUGAUGUGUGAUGCCAUCUUCGAUUUCACCUGCCGCGCGAGGCUAUCGGUUAUACAUACGUGUUCAAUGCUCACUGUUCCAAAAAAUGCUAUACACUCCUGUCAAGAAAAUGUCAAAGAAUAACAAAUUCAACUGUUCGCUUUCUUCUCAAAAGUUGUUUGAGUUUCGAUUGAGAAACACAUAUAUUCACUACUGCAGCACCACAAGUUUACUGGUCAUUAGAGAUAGGUUGAAGAGUCCCAUUACAGUCACUAUAUUCACUACUGUAGUACUACUAAAUGAGUAGCCUUUAGCCUGACAGAUAGCUCUUGCAGACAUGUAUAACUAUCCUCUAGCCAUUCUACUAUAGCAAGUAGUUCUAGGAGGGUGGAUACCUAGAUACACUGUAAUAUGCUGUAUAAGAGAGUAGUGUCCGUAAUUAGUGCCUUGGGGAUGUAGGUUUCGGCUGAACCUCGUUAACAGAUAAUAACGUGCCUUGGUGUUAUAUUCAGUAUUAGACCUUCUAUGGCGUUUCUUUCGAGUUCGAUUAUUGAUAUGUUAUUGGGGCUGGUUCUAUGAGAUCGGUCAUGAUGUUCUUCUCCUUGUUCUUCGAGGAAAAGCAAUCGCCAAUUAGUGGUGAUCCUGACCCUGAGGAGGGACACAUGGGGUUCCUGCUCGAGCUAACAGCUUCAAGACAGACGACGUCAGUGAGGACUUGUUUACUUACAUUCUCCUUAUUUCAGUGUUGCAGAUCAGUCAUGUUUGGCUGAACCUAUUAUAUUAUGGAAAUAAACAAUCCUCGGUGUCGUGAUCUUAGGUCACGGAGAAAUUAGAAAUAGAGGCAUGAAAAUACUAUUUUCUCCACCUAUCCUAAAAGUGAUAUGAGCUCGAAGAGUAAAGUCCGAGAAUUUAAUGCUUGCGGUGUCUAUCAGGAAAUAAUCACAUUUUGACAGUGUCUUUCCCUAAUGAUCGACUUUUAACGUGUUCUAGAGCUAAAACCACAAAGUCGCAGGGUCCUACAACAAAAUUUGCCUAAUUGUUAUGAAUAAAAAAAACAAUGUAUUCAUCCCAAAUUGUUGUGUCGUUAGUUUUUGUUUGCAAGAUUUGGUUUCAAUUUGUGUACCUUGUCAGAUAAGAAAUUGAUAUUGCACUUAACUCUGGCCAUGGAAAGUGGGUGUGACUGGUGGUGCUCUAUUUAUUCGUGGACUUCCCUAGCUUCUAGCCUUCUAGGUAUCUUCAUAAAUUGCAGAGACAUGUUUCUGUUCGAGGCAGAUAAAGAUGGAAAAAAGGCACAAGAUAUGUUUUAUCGUGAAAUUCUAGCACUAUUUAAUAUUUCUUCGUCUUUUCAUAGCCUCAGCCAAAUGUGUGGCUCGUAGGAAUAGGAGACAGUAGGAAUUUCUGCUGGUCGAGGUUUGACUCUUUGUUUGGGGAUGUAACUUCAGCGGGAACCUCAAGUUUUCCUCACAUAUCCGAUUGAUGGAUAGAUUGCCGAAGGAAGAAUCAUUUUGGAAUGAUGCAGAUACGAAAGUUUAGAUAAAUUCAAAAAUGUUUAGAUUCAGCCGUCGUCCGGUCAGUCCAUGUCCUCUCAGACUCUGCAUGUGGUCUCAAGUUGUCAUCAACUCACCGUGCCGUAACGUACUUCAAGAUACUACUGCAAUGUAACAGUAAUAUCUCAAAAAACAGCUUGGUGAAAGGUGCAUUGAAGUACGUGUGACCGAGUUCAAGACAUUGAAGUUCUAGUACUGACAAUUAGUGAGGACAUUGAAGAAAAUUGCUUCACCUCGAACAGGAGAUUUUGCUUCGCUGAACAGGAGAAAAUUGCAAUUGGUUAAUUUGCAUGAUCAUUAAAUACAUUAUAUUAUUUUUUCUGCUCAUCCUUUCUUACACAUGUCAUAUGACACAUGAAUAUACCCUACCACAACCAUACAUUUUGUUUCUAUAUUGCUAACAAAACAAAGUGUGUUUGUGGUUGGUGCAGUAUUUAUGGGCUGCAUGAGUAGCCAUAGCAUAAAUAGAAUAUAACUUCUCUCAAGGAAAUUCAUACAAACGAGAGAGUACUAACGAGCCAUAUGUUAUGUUGUAACAUCCCAGGAUUGACAAUGGGUGAGGAGAUCAAGGUGAAAUUGUUUGCUUCAGUUGGGGAGAUGAUCACGCCUAAUUGGAAUGAGAGACUUUGGGAGUUUUAGAUAUUCUGUUUGGACACCCAAAUGGGCCGAUGGUUGAACUACAGGUGAGAGGCUUUCUAAGAUGCUUGGGAGACAUUAUAGCCGUUGAUAGCUGGUAAUCCAACGAUAUAUAACAAAAGAUAGUUACAUGAAGGUACUAAAAAUAUGGGCCAGGUAUUAAGUAAAAAGUUAGAUGGUCAUAUAGGUAAUUUUGUACCUGUGAUCAAAUUAGAAAGCAACUGUUGUUUCCAACGAACUACUGAGAUAAACUCGGUAACUGUGCUUGAAAUUAGGUAACUAGGGAACAAUUAGCAGUACGAUUAAUUAAAGACAUCGAACUUUGUAAUCUUGCGUAAGACUUAUUUGGAAGUAUAAACAUACUCAUCUAACUAAGCUUGAUCAAAACUUUGAUCAAAGAACCAAGUAAUCAACUUUGACAGUAUUUAUUGUUGAAAUAUUUUGAAAGGGGAGAAUCGACAUGUAUAUGCCUUUUGUCUUUAUGUAUUAUUAUACGAAGAGAAUUUAUGAAUGGUCCAAUUGUAAGUAAUGCUUUUGCGAUGAAAAAAACAAUACUACUCUCAAUUUAUUUGUAGGAAAUUGUACCCAAGUGCCGCCGACACAUAGCGAUGAGAAAGCAGCCAAUUACCAUCUUAAUUACUCCAUGAGGAAAUCAAAUCGGCAAUAAGAGAAAGUUAACGAAUGAUAAUUACUGAACUGGCUAAAAGAAUUACUAAACUGCCUUUGUUUUCGUUGUUCUCCAUAUUCCGAAUUUACCCUUUUAUAAAUCAAUGGUGGAUUUGAAGUAUGGAGGAAGGUACCUUCCAUACCUCUCAAGCACUGUAAAAGCCCUCUACAGGUGAAAACAAUGUCAGCGAGGGGUGGUUGUGCAGUUUCACGUGGGGAGCCACCACUUUGAUCAGACUCGGCCCGCAGAUUCACCGGUGGCUGGUGUCUAAGCCAAUUUUGAGCGGCCAUGACAGUGUAUUCCUCUUAACUCCAAAUCUUAGGAACUGUGAUGUGGCGUCGAGCCUGCCCAUAUUUCUCAGGAAUAAGAUAAUUACUCUAUCCGGACUGAUAAUACAUGUCGUUUUAGAUAAGGAGACCAUACUCUUGUUCAAAACAACAACUAUUAUAACCCGGAGGACCAUUAAUUCUGGCUGCUGUCGUUGAGCUGUGGCAACUGCUGGAGAAGGCUGCAAACUCAUCGUGAGUAAUACUCGCUGCUUCUUUGAUUAAGUUGUGCUGUGAUGCAGUGCUCAUAAUACUCUGUUUCAUGUUAUAAUAUAUUUUGGAAUUGUCCAAAGGUGAACUAAGUUUAUAUAAAAUUAGUUUUACUAGCCGCCAACCCGUGCAUUGCACGGGCUAUUAUUAUUAAUAUUAUAAAUAUUACAGUUUUAUUUGUAUUCUAAUCUCUUAAUUCACAACAAGGUCUCAAUAUAGUUUUUUUGGUUUUUUUAAUUUAAUUGAGAAAUUAUGAGUUAUUAAGUAUGAAGAGAGUCUCAGUUAUAUUUUUUUCCCUAUUUGAUUGAUAUUUUUGUAAUCGGUAACAAAUGAAUAGUGAGUUGUGCUUGGUAAUUGGCGUGGUGUCUCAAAUUAUUAAAAUUUGGUUGACGAUAAAAUUUCUUACUGAUGGCUUUCUGCACGUAUUUGCACGCGCUAUUAAUAUAUUGUUCAUAUCAAUCUCUGUAUAUUUUUUUCAUCACAUAGAAAAAUGCACAGACGCACACAACUCUUUCUCACGCUCGCGAGCCAGCGGUAAAUUCCUUAUCUCAUUAAAAUUCUUUUAAAAACGUAAAUGCAUGUACUUAAUCAAAUAAAAAUAGAUUAAAAUAUAACCGGAUAAAAAUGGGUUCAAACCUGGUUUUCUUGUAAGUUCAUCUUAAUGCAUUGACCCUUCCAUGAAUCCAUAAUCACCUUGUCAUUGAAUUCUGUUAAGCUGCUUCAUGUAGACAGCUUAUGCUACACGCAUGCAACGCUUCAGCUAAAACACACACAGGGGAGAUGCAGGUACAUUGGUUGAUAACGUUGAACUUUUUUUUAGAUAAUUGAUAACGUUGAACUAUCCAUGCUAAAAAAAAGGGAAAAAAGAACAGAUCGUUAUGUCGAUAAAAUCAGCAGUACUUUAUACAACAUGAGAUCAGCAUCAAUAAGAAAGCUACCUACCUGUAUAUAUUACAGAUGAGACGAUAAAAAGAUGAUAAAUUAAAUAUGUACUAAGAGUGAACCUUUCUUAUCAAUUGUCAACCCCUCAAAAAAAUUAUAUGCCAUGAUAGAUGUUGGUGUAUAUGAGCGAGCCUGGAUGAAUUCUGAUCUGUGUCGUCUCAGACAAAAAUCAAUCUUUGAUUGACGGAAAAAUCAAUCUCGUUCCACUUGUGGCCUCGUGUCCCCAUAUUUUAUUUGCCUGGCUGAUUGGUUAAUACUCUCCAAGAUAGAUCUAAGAUAGAUUAUUGAUGUGUGCCCUUGGACAUAAGAUUUGACAGGCUUUUAAAACAGCCCACAAAAGUGAAAAAUCACGGUGUGGUGGCGCCAUGGUCGCAGUUUUUUCCAUCAUUAGCGAACAGAACAGACGGAGUAGAUAUAUUAGAUCGGAUCCAUGUUAGACUUCCUUUUUUUUUAAUUUUCUUCUGGCCGAAUCCUGAGAUCGGCGCCCAAAUCAGCCGCACCAGUGAAAUACGUGAGAUUAUAAAACAACACUAUUAACUUGGUGACAUUAAACUAAUGAGCCCAUAAUUUAUUUAAUUGUAUGCCUUAUUUAAUAUAAUAUAUUCAAUCUAACGGUGGUGAUAAAAUGAUCUAUCUAAUUAACGAUAAGAUCUUUCUAAUUAACAUGGGAGCUCGUAGAAAGUGCCUAAUUAGUAUAGUUAUAAAUAGAUAGAUAGAUUAUAGAUAGAUGUGUGACUGAUGCCUUGCAACCUCUGUUUUAUUGGAACACCAGAGGUCAUUUUUCUUUG